AUUGAACGCUGGCGGCAUGCCUUACACAUGCAAGUCGAACGGCAGCACGGGCAACCUGGUGGCGAGUGGCGAACGGGUGGGUAAUGCAUCGGAACGUGCCAUUGAGUGGGGGAUAACGUAGCGAAAGUUGCGCUAAUACCGCAUAUUCUGUGAGCAGGAAAGCAGGGGACCGCAAGGCCUUGCGCUCUUUGAGCGGCCGAUGUCAGAUUAGCUAGUUGGUGAGGUAACGGCUUACCAAGGCGACGAUCUGUAGCGGGUCUGAGAGGAUGAUCCGCCACACUGGAACUGAGACACGGUCCAGACUCCUACGGGAGGCAGCAGUGGGGAAUUUUGGACAAUGGGCGCAAGCCUGAUCCAGCCAUGCCGCGUGAGUGAAGAAGGCCU
rnacentral:rRNA from 1 species